GCCUGGUGGUUCCCAUAGCCAGCUCCAAAGUGCUGAGCUGUGGGUUUUAAUGAACAGGCGCAUAUUGAUUCUGCGAUUUAAUGCAUGGAAACUGUCUCUGUUUCAGAUUUCCAUAGCCCGGUUGCAGAUACAUAA